AGAGCGACAUCAUUGAUAUAUACAGAGAAGAGAGUCGGCCCAAGAAUUGAACCCUGUGGCACCCCCAUAACCCCACACCCCCAUAAUGAUAAUUGAAACCUUCUCUUUAUUCAGGAAGACGAGAAAAACUGUCUGCCGUGAGAGGCAGAUGCAGGACCAGACGUCACUGCCCAACUUCGGACGACAAGAAAAUUGUCAGCCAUCAGAGAGGUCGUUCCACACCACUGCCCAACUUCAAUCCAUACAAAGGAGAGAGAUGGCACGGACUCCCAAACAGUGAAACCUGCACUGACGCCCAAACAGUGGAACCUGCACUGACUCCCAAACAGUGGAACCUGCACUGACUCCCAAACAGUGAAACCUGCACUGACUCUCAAACAGUAGAGCACCCUCAGAAGGCAGAGGGAGAUCACAUGAGGAAAAAACAGGACCUAACCCUUUUUGAACAGAAAUGUGACAGAAUGUUCAAGAGAGAAAGGGAGUGGUUGGAGGACAAGAGGAGAAAGAUCAAAAAGAGGGAGAUCUUAUGGAGACAGAAAACUGGAAGUAGAGGGUAGAUACCUAGCCAAGAUGGAUGGAUUGCUAGAGGACAUGGCUUGGCGAGUCCAGGAUUUGUCCACAGAGAAAGACGGAGAAACAAAGGGUGGUCAAUCAAAGAAAAACAAUGGCCAGGUCCCCCAGGUGACAGGACAAGGCAGGGGAUAAGAAAACACGGCUUGAGAGCAAGGCUGAGAGGAAAGAGCAGAAAAUGAA